GAGAACGGGAGGAUCAGGAGCUGAAAACAAUAAUUAUAGAGAUUCAAUCCUACAUAGAAGACAAUAGAUUCCUUCAAGAGCCUGAAGGAUGGAGCAUGCAGAGUUCAUUGCUAUCAAGUGUCAUGGUGCCCGACUCGGAACCAAGUAGAGGUUACUACUAUUAUUGACCAGAAAAUCCAGCGUAGGGGUGCCAGAAUAAGAUUAAAUGUAUCAUCUCGGGGGGAUAUUAUCAUAUUACUUUUUGCUAGUCAUCAGAAAAAAGGGGGAAACGAAGUGCUAUUCUUGGCUAUUUUAAGCCCUAGAUUUUGUCAGGUUGUAUGGGCAUUAUCCAUUGCCUUCAUUGCGAGUUUUAGAGUCAAUGAUGUGCUACUAGUACUUGCUGAGAGAGCCUGGACAGCCAGAAUCAUUUGAUAAUCCAGCCUAUGCUUUUCACCCUCCUUUGUUGUCCUGCCA
rnacentral:misc_RNA from 1 species